rnacentral:rRNA from 3 species
GAUGAGCCAAGAUUGGUACCCUUUAAGGUACUAUUGAUUUUAAACUGAAGAGUUUGAUCAUGGCUCAGAUUGAACGCUGGCGGCAGGCUUAACACAUGCAAGUCGAGCGGAUGAAGGGAGCUUGCUCCUGGAUUCAGCGGCGGACGGGUGAGUAAUGCUUAGGAAUCUGCCUAUUAGUGGGGGACAACAUUUCGAAAGGGAUGCUAAUACCGCAUACGCCCUACGGGGGAAAGCAGGGGAUCUUCGGACCUUGCGCUAAUAGAUGAGCCUAAGUCAGAUUAGCUAGUUGGUGGGGUAAAGGCCUACCAAGGCGACGAUCUGUAGCGGGUCUGAGAGGAUGAUCCGCCACACUGGGACUGAGACACGGCCCAGACUCCUACGGGAGGCAGCAGUGGGGAAUAUUGGACAAUGGGGGGAACCCUGAUCCAGCCAUGCCGCGUGUGUGAAGAAGGCCUUUUGGUUGUAAAGCACUUUAAGCGAGGAGGAGGCUCUUCUAGUUAAUACCUAGGAUGAGUGGACGUUACUCGCAGAAUAAGCACCGGCUAACUCUGUGCCAGCAGCCGCGGUAAUACAGAGGGUGCGAGCGUUAAUCGGAUUUACUGGGCGUAAAGCGUACGUAGGCGGCUUUUUAAGUCGGAUGUGAAAUCCCUGAGCUUAACUUAGGAAUUGCAUUCGAUACUGGGAAGCUAGAGUAUGGGAGAGGAUGGUAGAAUUCCAGGUGUAGCGGUGAAAUGCGUAGAGAUCUGGAGGAAUACCGAUGGCGAAGGCAGCCAUCUGGCCUAAUACUGACGCUGAGGUACGAAAGCAUGGGGAGCAAACAGGAUUAGAUACCCUGGUAGUCCAUGCCGUAAACGAUGUCUACUAGCCGUUGGGGCCUUUGAGGCUUUAGUGGCGCAGCUAACGCGAUAAGUAGACCGCCUGGGGAGUACGGUCGCAAGACUAAAACUCAAAUGAAUUGACGGGGGCCCGCACAAGCGGUGGAGCAUGUGGUUUAAUUCGAUGCAACGCGAAGAACCUUACCUGGUCUUGACAUAGUAAGAACUUUCCAGAGAUGGAUUGGUGCCUUCGGGAACUUACAUACAGGUGCUGCAUGGCUGUCGUCAGCUCGUGUCGUGAGAUGUUGGGUUAAGUCCCGCAACGAGCGCAACCCUUUUCCUUAUUUGCCAGCGGUUCGGCCGGGAACUUUAAGGAUACUGCCAGUGACAAACUGGAGGAAGGCGGGGACGACGUCAAGUCAUCAUGGCCCUUACGACCAGGGCUACACACGUGCUACAAUGGUCGGUACAAAGGGUUGCUACCUCGCGAGAGGAUGCUAAUCUCAAAAAGCCGAUCGUAGUCCGGAUUGGAGUCUGCAACUCGACUCCAUGAAGUCGGAAUCGCUAGUAAUCGCGGAUCAGAAUGCCGCGGUGAAUACGUUCCCGGGCCUUGUACACACCGCCCGUCACACCAUGGGAGUUUGUUGCACCAGAAGUAGGUAGUCUAACCGUAAGGAGGACGCUUACCACGGUGUGGCCGACGACUGGGGUGAAGUCGUAACAAGGUAGCCGUAGGGGAACCUGCGGCUGGAUCACCUCCUUAA